AACGAACGCUGGCGGCAUGCCUAACACAUGCAAGUCGGACGCCCCGCAAGGGGAGUGGCGCACGGGUGAGUAACGCGUGGGAACCUGCCCUGGAGUGGGGGAUAACCCGGCGAAAGCCGGGCUAAUACCGCAUGCGCCCCGGAGCAAUCUGGGGGAAAGAUUUAUCGCUCUAGGAUGGGCCCGCGUCGGAUUAGCUAGUUGGUGGGGUAACGGCCCACCAAGGCGAUGAUCCGUAGCUGGUCUGAGAGGAUGAUCAGCCACACUGGGACUGAGACACGGCCCAGACUCCUACGGGAGGCAGCAGUGGGGAAUAUUGGACAAUGGGCGCAAGCCUGAUCCAGCAAUGCCGCGUGAGUGAUGAAGGCCUUAGGGUUGUAAAGCUCUUUCGGCGGGGACGAUGAUGACGGUACCCGCAGAAGAAGCCCCGGCUAACUUCGUGCCAGCAGCCGCGGUAAGAC
rnacentral:rRNA from 1 species